UCCCCUUCCACACUGGAAGCUUUGUUCUUUUGCUCUUCACAAUAAAUCUUGCUGCUGCUCAUAGAAAGAUGCAAGCUAGUGCUAGCGAGACAGCCUGCAAAACCCCUGUGUUGUUUUGGGCUGUUAACCAUAGUCUGAGUGGCUUAGACAACAAACAUUUAUUUCUCACAGUUCUAGAGGCUAGAAGUCCAAGAGCAGAUGCCAGCAGACCUGUCUGGGGAAGGCCUGCUUCUUGGCCUGGAGACAGCCGCUUGCUCACUAUGUCUUCACAGGGCAGAGUGAACCCUGGUCUGUUUCUCUUACAAGGACACUCAUCCCACUGUGGGCCUCCACCUUUGUGAUUUCAUCUAUACCUAAAAGGCCCCACUUCCUAGUAUUCCGCCGGGGGUUCAGGCUUCAAAGAUGAAUACUGGGGGCGACACAAACGGAGCCCAUAACCUCAUGCCGCCUGACUCCUGAGGCUGUAUUCGUGAUGAACGUGUGGCUGCCCAAGUUUUGUUUUGCUCAGGCAGGAUCAGCACACACCCAGCCACAGACAGGGAAGCCCAGAGCAGGGCAGAAUAUGGUCCCUCAAGUGAAUAAUUGGCCCAGGGAUACAGAAUUAGGUGAUUCUAGCAAAUCCAGACAUUUUCUAGGGUGCCAGUGAAUUUUGGGUCUGUCCCUGUUAGCUGUUCUUGAGAUUUUGCACUCAACUUGCGAUGGUUAAUACGGAGUGUCAACUUGAUUGGAUUGAAGGAUGCAAAGUAUUGUUUCUGGGUGUGUCUGUGAGGGUGUUGCCAAAGGAGAUUAACAUUUGUGUCAGUGGGCUGGGAAAGGCAGACCCACCCUCAAUCUGGGUGGGCACCAUCUAAUCAGCUGCCAGCGUGGCCGGAAUAAAAGCAGGCAGGAGAAUGUGGAAAGACUAGACUAGUCUUGUGGCCUCCAUCUUUCUCCUGUGCUGGAUGCUUCCUGCCCUUGAACAUCGGACUCCAAGUUCUUCCGUUUUGGGACUUGGAUUAGCUUCCUUGCUCCUCAGCCUGCAGACGGCCUACUGUGGGACCCCUUCUUGCUGGAAUGCAAUGGCAUAAUCUCAACUCAUUGCAACCUUCACCUCCUGGGUUCAAGUGACUCUCCUACCUCAGCCUCUCGAGUAGCUGGGAUUAUAGGCACCUGCCACCACACCAGAUAAUUUUUGUAUUUUUGGUAGAGACGGGGUUUCGCCAUGUUGGCCAGACUGGUCUUGAACUCCUGACCUCGUGAUCCAUACACCUCGGCCUCCCAAAGUGCUGGGAUUACAGGCAUGAGCCAACACGCCCGGCAUGUUUUUCCUUUAAAAUCAGUCACAGCAAAAGUCACCGAGCAGACACUGUUCUGCCUUCUUCAGACAUUUUCUCUGGCUUCCUAGGAAUUGGGGUUUUUUUUGUUGUUUUUGUUUGUUUGUUUGUUUGUUUGUUUUAGUGUUAUUCAUCUUUUAGACUGGCCGUUCCCAUCUUAUUUGCACCUUUUGGGGAAAAGUUAACUUGCUCGAAAAUGAAAUGCACCCGAUGGCAUCUGCUGGCUUUACCUCAUGGUGAUGUUCCUUUAUGAACUAGUGACCAAAUGCUUCAUUCUCUUUUCUGAUUGUUUCCCUCCCUUUGCUCAUCCCCCACCUCAGUAAGACAUGUUACAUCAUUUUAAUGAGCAAGUGUACAUUUUUUUCCAGUGGGACUCAAAUUGUACGUUUGCUUCUUGGUCGUACAUGCAUUUUGUUUCACGGAUUUAGUUGUGUCUCCUGUUGUUCUGUGGUCAGGAUACGGGAUCAUUUGCUAGGCACUGAUUUGCUGAACACAGUAGUAUUUCGUUGAGUGGCCCUUCCUUGGAAACAACUGGCAAACUGAAAGCCUCCCUGUAAGGUGCUGAUUGCCUUCCAGAUCUGAGGACCCCGUCUCUGCCUCAUUCCUCCUGUUUCCAUCAGAAGACACAGGUCUGGGACUCAGCGCAGCUGACCUGUCUGUCCCUCUCUGCACAGUUUACUCCUGGGCUCUGCAGAGAGAAGUCAGUGCCUCAAUUUUCCAUUGAAAUAUGCACCCUUGGCAUCCUGGCAGGAGUGGCAGCCACAGCAAAACAUCUUCUGCAGCGUCUGGCCAGGGCGUUACUCCAGCCCAGUUUUGCCCUGGACUAGAUUGAGUCAGGUCGUGCAUGGAACGCAAGCACAAACCACGGUCAGCUCCUCGAGACUGACCCACUGGCCCACUGAGCAGAGGAGCCCCUGGGUCUCUGGACGCUGCCCAGUUGUUGACAUCCUGAGGCAGGUUUGCGGCUGAUGGAGCAACAGGGACGGGCUGGGCCCGGCACCUUUUUCACGGAAAUGAUGAGCUCUGGACAGCAGUGAUGCCAGGGCCCAUAAAGCCUCAGGCGCCCGUCAUUGCUGCUGCCUGCGUGUGCUCGCUCACCGCGACGGCGGCGGGCUGGAGGAAGCUGUGCAAGAGCCAAGUGUCUACCAUGAGUCUGCAUGUUCAUAUGGUUCAGAUUUGCCUUGGAAUCCCCGCGAGCCAAACUCUUUCAUUUCACUUAGUAAAAGGGAUGCAUUGACUCAGAUGUUCUGUCCUAUUUAAAUGAGAGGGGCGCGGGAGGUGAUGGAACACAAAACCAUGAGCCAUGGCUUUGCUGGGGAAUGCUGUGGAUCUGGUGUGUGAUAGAGAGAGAGUGUGUGUGCGUGUGUGUGUGUGUAUGGCAAAGUGCACAAAUCGCACGUGUACACCUCAGUGGCUUUUUACACAUUUAGACGUGUGUAAGUGUAUAGAGCAUUUCCACACCCCAGAGGCCCCGAGCUCACUCCCUCCCGCUCUCCCCAUCCCUGACGCUAACCUGAUGCCUGUUGUCGUACAUCAGCUUCUCAACCUCGGCACUAUUGAUUGCCAUUUGGGGCCAAUAAUUCUAGGGGGUGGUGGCUGUGGUGGGCACUGUAGGAUGUUUCCUGUGUCCCUGGCCCUGACCUACUAGAUACUAGAUGCACCCACCCUCUCCAUCGUGACAACCAAACGUCUCCAGACAUUGCUAAAUACACCCUGGGGACACAGUCACCCUGGCUGAGAACCAGAGCGUGGGUCACUGUGACUUCCGCGCUUCCUCUCCAUGGCAUCGCACGGUGCCAUGUGUCCUGCCCUCCGUGUUCUUCUCUCUACGCUGCUUCUCUGAAAUCCCUCCAGCGGUGGCGGGUGCCAGGAGUUAGUUUUGCUUUCUCACUUUGGAGUAAUGUUGCAUUUUAUGGAUGUGCCACGAUGUGCUUGUCUGUUCCACUGCGGAUGGCAUCUCUUGUUGCAGUUGGGGCUGUUAAGAGUGUUCUCAGUGUGCCUUGUGGAGGGCUUGUGUCCUUUCUCUUGGGUGCAUCCUCCUGAGUAGGACUGCAGGGUCCCAGGCAGGCGCCUAUUAGCAGGAGUGGCCACCAUUGCACAGUGCUCCCAAUUCCAUUCCCACAGGCCACCUGAGAGUCAGGGAGCUUCUGUCACAAUUUUAAGUGCUGCAGGAUUAAUGCAAACUUUCUGAUGUGCUUCAAGUUGCUUUGUGUUGAAAUGGACUAGAGGGGAUUUAAGCUCACAGACAUAUAUCCAGAGCAUGCCCACUUUGAUAAUGCUAUCUUCACUAAUAAAUUAUUCUCAAAACAGCAGGUACUUGCAGUUCUGAACUAGAUAAAGCCCUUUCCUUUCCAUCUACUCACUGAGUCAUCAGGUGCCUGGCUGACAGCUGACGCUAAGUCUUCACAAUUAACCAAGUCUCUGGGCGCCCCUCAGGCUUUAACAUGAGGACACAUGGCAGAUUAAUCACGAAGCCCCACCUCUCAUUUCAGCUGCCAUGAAUGGCAAUUCCCAAAAUGCAGGGGGAGAAAAAGACUGGAAGGAAAUGUC
rnacentral:lncRNA from 1 species